GAUGAACGCUAGCGGCAGGCUUAACACAUGCAAGUCGAGGGGCAGCAUAAUGGAUAGCCCUAUCUAUGGUGGCGACCGGCGCACGGGUGCGUAACGCGUAUGCAACCUAUCUUUAACAGGGGGAUAACACUGAGAAAUUGGUACUAAUACCCCAUACUAUCAUAGAAGGCAUCUUUUAUGGUUGAAAAUUCCGAUGGUUAGAGAUGGGCAUGCGUUGUAUUAGCUAGUUGGUGGGGUAACGGCUCACCAAGGCGACGAUACAUAGGGGGACUGAGAGGUUAACCCCCCACACUGGUACUGAGACACGGACCAGACUCCGACGGGAGGCAGCAGUGAGGAAUAUUGGUCAAUAGACGCAAGGCUGAACCAGCCAUGCCGCGUGCAGGAUGACGGCUCUAUGAGUUGUAAACUGCUUUUGUACGAGGGUAAACGCAGAUACGUGUAUCUGUCUGAAAGUAUCGUACGAAUAAGGAUCGGCUAACUCCGG
rnacentral:rRNA from 1 species